CAAAAAAUUGGACUUGAGAAUCAAGGAUAGAUAGACAAGAGAUACAUAAACGAUAUAUAUAUAUGUAUUUCUCACAAAAAAAUUGUGAGAUAAAGAGCAGAUGAUGAGAAAAUAAAAAAAGUCAAGCCUCGAAGCACAAGUGAGAUAGCGUUGGAACCAUAUGAUGUUCUACUCGAUUAUUCAAGCUUUGGAUUGAAAAUUGAAUCAUCCACACCAGUAAAAGGGCUAUAAAAGGUCGACUUCUUAGGAAGUAUCUUCCUUAUUUUUGUUACUUUUGGUGGUUGUUAAAGGAAACUUUUUAGUUGUUACUUUUGAUGACUGCAAACAAAACUUUUUGGGAUUAUCAUCUGGUACAACUACACUCAGUAAGGAGAACCAUCACAUGGAACUAACAAAGAUGUUAUUUAGCGUUUUUGCUGCUUAAUUUAGCCCAGAUUGCUCCCGUAUAGGCAGACCAUCACUUGAGGCUCUAGCAUCUGU